UUUAUGUCUUCCAGAGGACCAUCUUCGAAUGGGGCCAGAAAGUAUUGAAGACCUUCUAAAUCAUGCCAUGAGUUUACAGUUGGAAUCAGUUGCCACACAACACAUGGUUAAAGAGAAGAUGAACUUCUUGAGGCGAGAGAUGUCCAAGGUUUUUAGUAAAGUAGUGACUUUAAAAAGUCACUUAUCUAAUACUGAUGCCAGGGUGCAAGAGUUGGAAGAGAAAGUGAAGUCAUCUGAGGAGCUUGUAACACGGCUAUAAAAGGAGCUAGAAGAUGUAAAGGCAAGCCAAGCUUCUGAGUAGGCUAAAUUGAAGGAUGAGCUCAAGGUCAAAAAUGAAAAAGUUAUGGACAAAGUGGCAAAUGCCUAUGUCUAGGCUCACAGUGAUCUUCUUGCUAAAAUGCUAAAAUGAUACCCAAAUGAUGACUUUACCUUGCUUAAAAUGCAUG
rnacentral:misc_RNA from 1 species